rnacentral:snRNA from 1 species
AAAAAAGUAUAGAAUUUCCUGAAUUUGUGUGCUAUCCAUUUGCAGGGGCCAUGCUAAUCUCUGUAUCAUUCCAAUUUUAGCAUACACCAAUUUUAGUAUAUGU